rnacentral:rRNA from 1 species
ACGCUAAUACCGCAUACGUCCUACGGGAGAAAGCGGGGGAUCUUCGGACCUCGCGCCAUUAGAUGAGCCUAGGUCGGAUUAGCUAGUUGGUGAGGUAAUGGCUCACCAAGGCGACGAUCCGUAACUGGUCUGAGAGGAUGAUCAGUCACACUGGAACUGAGACACGGUCCAGACUCCUACGGGAGGCAGCAGUGGGGAAUAUUGGACAAUGGGCGAAAGCCUGAUCCAGCCAUGCCGCGUGUGUGAAGAAGGUCUUCGGAUUGUAAAGCACUUUAAGUUGGGAGGAAGGGUAGUAACCUAAUACGUUGCUACUUUGACGUUACCGACAGAAUAAGCACCGGCUAACUUCGUG